rnacentral:rRNA from 1 species
UACGGAGGGAGCUAGCGUUGUUCGGAAUUACUGGGCGUAAAGCGCGCGUAGGCGGCUUUGUAAGUUAGAGGUGAAAGCCCGGAGCUCAACUCCGGAACUGCCUUUAAAACUGCAUCGCUUGAAUCCAGGAGAGGUGAGUGGAAUUCCGAGUGUAGAGGUGAAAUUCGUAGAUAUUCGGAGGAACACCAGUGGCGAAGGCGGCUCACUGGUCCGGUACUGACGCUGAGGUGCGAAAGCGUGGGGAGCAAACAGG